CCACAUCCUCUGGGAUGUCACAGUCAAAUGAAGAAGGAAACGUCUGUGUUGUUCUUAGAGGUGAAGAUCACCUGACUCCAACCUUCUGUCCUUCUGUCCUGAGGCGCAUCAGACCCAAGGACUGGACACACAGACGCUGCAGAACGUAUCCAGGCGUUGAUCUGACUCCACCUCCCAGGAGUAAAACUAUAAUAGACGAGGUUGUGGAGGUAAAACUGUUAGAGGGCCAUUCAUCCACCGGCUGCAUUUCUAGCAGGAAUCCAAAUAUUCGAUGACUUUCUGGCGAGCGCAGUCGAGCGAUUAUUACGCAACACCUUUAUUCCUACUCUUCAUCAGAGCUGCUAUUUUAGAACUGCACUAUGAAUAAACCUUCUGCAGCAUUGCCUUUCUUGAGGACAGAGCUCAGGGUCAGUCUUUGUGUGAGCUGUGAAACACAUCGUGUCUGAGCGAGACAUCGCUCUCAUUCGCGGGGGGCAAAUGUGAGAUCUGUCGGUGGGAAAGACGCUCGUGCUUUGGGGGAAUCUGAUCUGUUCAGCGAGCGCGACAUUAGACCUCGGAACGAGGAACAGAAGACGCUGCUGAGAGCGAUGGGCGCUGUGUAAACGCCACAGCGGCAGAGACACAGGCAGAAGGUCGCGACCUGCGACACAGUGGUCACUAUGGUUAAAGAAGAGAAGCAGAAGCUGCAACACACAUACGCAGACGGGGACACAGGGCGCUCAGACAGAUCCCUGACUCGGCAUCUUUUUCAUCAUCCGUUGUCUUCAACAAAAGAACAAGCAUGUUGUCUCUCAGGUCCCUGACGUGAAAUGAGUUGCAGCCUGUAAAGCGCUAACAUCGCUGUUACAACACUCCACUUGGCCUCUCGCUGCAGUGAACGCAUGUACAGUGGAGUCCGCUCCACCAGCACGCAGGCUUCGGUCCCUGGUCCUCCGUGGGCCUGAGGCCAGAGGAUGCAAAUAGACUCCGCGUCCGUUCCCACAGACCUGCUCUCCACUGCGUACAACAGCGAUCUGAAGGCAGGAGCGCGCUGGUGUCGCAUACAAAUGCCGUGAUUUCAGCGGUGAAGUUCAUCCUGAUGCACAGGCCCGACUCACAUCCACCAAUCAUUUCUAAUUUAGCCGUCUGUCUCGGAGGAGCAGCCGGGGUGAGACGGCAGCGCCGGAGCGGUCUCAGGCCGGAAAGGUGCAGCAGAAAUGAGUGGAGCGGUUAAAGGGAGUUAAUGGUCUGCUAAUAAGACUCUGGGGAGAAGAUCACAGGGCUCCGCUCAUCAUUCAGGAACGCAGGAACGAGCAGCAUAUCUGGGUUUGCACCGCUUGCUGCCUGAAAAACGACCCAAUAAUGUUCACCUUGCAGUUGAAUGUGAAUAAAUGGGAAUGACCUGUGUUUAUUGGGGCUAAAAUAAUGCGAAUCAACAGCGAGACUGGACGUUUCAGGGUGUUUUGGCCUAAUGCCACACACGUUUUGCUCAUGGGCGAUCGGCACCUUGUUCCCGUCCCCCAAUCACUCACUGGAGUGUGGUAAUCAGCCGCUGUAGUUACACGUUAACUUGAAGCGGAUGUGGACUUUAUUUGCCCGACCGGCUCCUCACCUUCACCCAGACGUGUGUAAAUCAUGUUGUGCAGGGAUUAAAGAUUAAAAGGCCGAUAAAGAUUAAA